rnacentral:rRNA from 1 species
GACGAACGCUGGCGGCGUGCUUAACACAUGCAAGUCGAACGAAGUGGCGAACGGGUGAGUAACGCGUAAUCAACCUGCCCUUCAGAGGGGGACAACAGUUGGAAACGACUGCUAAUACCGCAUACUGAAGGAGGGGAUUGCGUCUGAUUAGCUGGUUGGAGGGGUAACGGCCCACCAAGGCGAUGAUCAGUAGCCGGUCUGGAGGGGAGAACGGCCAAAUUGGGACUGGGAAAAGGCCCAAAAUCCUACGGGAGGGCGCAGUGGGGAAUCUUCCGCAAUGGACGAAAGUCUGACGGAGCAACGCCGCGGGAGUGAUGACGGCCUUCGGGUUGGAAAGCUCUGUUAAUCGGGACGCGGUACCGGAAUAGAAAGCCACGGCUAACUACGUGCCAGCAGCCGCGGUAAUAC